GACAGAGGGGGCAAGCGUUGCUCGGAAUCACUGGGCGUAAAGGGCGCGUAGGCGGGAUGGCAAGUCGGUCGUGAAAUCCUUCGGCCCAACCGAAGAACGUCGGCCGAUACUGCCAUUCUUGAGGAUUGCAGAGGAGACUGGAAUUCCCGGUGUAGCGGUGAAAUGUGUAGAGAUCGGGAGGAACACCGGUGGCGAAGGCGGGUCUCUGGGCAAUUCCUGACGCUGAGGCGCGAAAGCGUGGGGAGCAAACGGG
rnacentral:rRNA from 1 species